UCCAAACCAAGCCACUCAGUUGAUGCUCACACUGCUGAAGUGAACUGCCUUUCUUUCAAUCCUUAUAGUGAGUUCAUUCUUGCCACAGGAUCAGCUGACAAGACUGUUGCCUUGUGGGAUCUGAGAAAUCUGAAACUUAAGUUGCAUUCCUUUGAGUCACAUAAGGAUGAAAUAUUCCAGGUUCAGUGGUCACCUCACAAUGAGACUAUUUUAGCUUCCAGUGGUACUGAUCGCAGACUGAAUGUCUGGGAUUUAAGUAAAAUUGGAGAGGAACAAUCCCCAGAAGAUGCAGAAGACGGGCCACCAGAGUUGUUGUUUAUUCAUGGUGGUCAUACUGCCAAGAUAUCUGAUUUCUCCUGGAAUCCCAAUGAACCUUGGGUGAUUUGUUCUGUAUCAGAAGACAAUAUCAUGCAAGUGUGGCAAAUGGGCAGGCAGAGAACAUUUAUAAUGAUGAAGACCCUGAAGGAAGCGUGGAUCCAGAAGGACAAGGGAGUUAGUCCUUGACCACUAGUUUGAUGCCAUCUCCAUUUUGGGUGACCUGUUUCACCAGCAGGCCUGUUACUCUCCAUGACUAACUGUGUAAGUGCUUAAAAUGGAAUAAAUUGCUUUUCUACAU
rnacentral:lncRNA from 1 species